GAUGAACGCUGACAGAAUGCUUAACACAUGCAAGUCAACUUGAAUUUGGGUUUUUAACUUAGGUUUGGGUGGCGGACGGGUGAGUAACGCGUAAAGAACUUGCCUCACAGCUAGGGACAACAUUUGGAAACGAAUGCUAAUACCUAAUAUCAUGAUAAUAGGGCAUCCUAUAAUUAUGAAAGCUAUAAGCGCUGUGAGAGAGCUUUGCGUCCCAUUCGCUAGUUGGAGAGGUAACGGCUCACCAAGGCGAUGAUGGGUAGCCGGCCUGAGAGGGCGAUCGGCCACAAGGGGACUGAGACACGGCCCUUACUCCUACGGGAGGCAGCAGUGGGGAAUAUUGGACAAUGGACCGAGAGUCUGAUCCAGCAAUUCUGUGUGCACGAUGAAGUUUUUCGGAAUGUAAAGUGCUUUCAGUUGGGAAGAAACAAAUGACGGUACCAACAGAAGAAGUGACGGCUAAAUACGUG
rnacentral:rRNA from 1 species